GAAUUAUAGGAGAACGGACUGGGAAGUCCGGCCGGAGAGAGUGAAAGCCUCGUAUCCGAAAUCCCAAGUCAUCUAGCAGGAUCCAGAGUAGGACGAGACACGAGAAACCUUGUCUGAAGGAGCGGGGACCACCCCGUAAGGCUAAAUACUACUCAGUGACCGAUAGCGUAUAGUACUGUGAAGGAAAGGUGAAAAGAACCCCGGGAGGGGAGUGAAAGAGAACCUGAAACCCUGUGUCUACAAGCUGUGGAAGUACUUCUCAGGUACGACCGCG
rnacentral:rRNA from 1 species